CCUACGGGAGGCAGCAGUGGGGGAUAUUGCACAAUGGGGGAAACCCUGAUGCAGCGACGCCGCGUGGGCGAAGAAGUAUUUCGGUAUGUAAAGCCCUAUCAGCAGGGAAGAAGAAAUGACGGUACCAGAAGAAGAAGCACCGGCUAAAUACGUGCCAGCAGCCGCGGUAAUACGUAUGGUGCAAGCGUUAUCCGGAUUUACGGGGGGUAAAGGGAGCGCAGGCGGCACGGCAAGCCUGAUGUGAAAGCCCGGGGCUCAACCGCGGGACUGCCUGGGGAACUACCGGGCUGGAGUGCCGGAGAGGUAGGCGGAAGUCCUAGUGUAGCGGUGAAAUGCGUAGAUAUUAGGAGGAACACCAGUGGCGAAGGCGGCCUACUGGACGGUGACUGACGCUGAGGCUCGAAAGCGUGGGGAGCAAACAGGAUUAGAUACCCCAGUAGUC
rnacentral:rRNA from 1 species